UACAGGGGGGGCAAGCGUUGUUCGGAAUUACUGGGCGUAAAGGGCUCGUAGGCGGCCAACUAAGUCACACGUGAAAUCCCCAGGCUUAACCUGGGAACUGCGUGUGAUACUGGAUGGCUUGAAUCCGGGAGAGGGAUGCGGAAUUCCAGGUGUAGCGGUGAAAUGCGUAGAUAUCUGGAGGAACACCGGUGGCGAAGGCGGCAUCCUGGACCGGUAUUGACGCUGAGUGAGCGAAGCCAGGGGAGCAAACGGG
rnacentral:rRNA from 1 species